rnacentral:rRNA from 1 species
GUGAACGCUGGCGGUAGGCCUAACACCUGCCAGUCGAACGGCAGCACAGUAAGAGCUUGCUCUUACGGGUGGCGAGUGGCGGACGGGUGAGGAAUACAUCGGAAUCUACUUUUUCGUGGGGGAUAACGUAGGGAAACUUACGCUAAUACCGCACACGACCUACGGGUGAAAGCAGGGGAUCUUCGGACCUUGCGCGAUUGAAUGAGCCGAUGUCGGAUUAGCUAGUUGGCGGGGUAAAGGCCCACCAAGGCGACGAUCCGUAGCUGGUCUGAGAGGAUGAUCAGCCACACUGGAACUGAGACACGGUCCAGACUCCUACGGGAGGCAGCAGUGGGGAAUAUUGGACAAUGGGCGCAAGCCUGAUCCAGCCAUACCGCGUGGGUGAAGAAGGCCUUCGGGUUGUAAAGCCCUUUUGUUGGGAAAGAAAAGCAGCAGGUUAAUACCCCGCUGUUCUGACGGUACCCAAAGAAUAAGCACCGGCUAACUUCGUG